GACGAACGCUGGCGGCGUGCCUAACACAUGCAAGUCGAACGGGACUUAGUGGAAAGCGGCUUCGGCCAAUGGAAGCUAAGUUUAGUGGCGAACGGGUGAGUAACGCGUGAGGAACCUGCCUUUCAGUGGGGGACAACAGUUGGAAACGACUGCUAAUACCGCAUAACAUAUUCGGACCGCAUGAUCUGAAUAUCAAAGCUUUAUGUGCUGAAAGAUGGCCUCGCGUCUGAUUAGCUAGUUGGUGGGGUAACGGCCCACCAAGGCGACGAUCAGUCGCCGGUCUGAGAGGAUGAACGGCCACAUUGGGACUGAGAUACGGCCCAGACUCCUACGGGAGGCAGCAGUGGGGGAAUAUUGGGCAAUGGGGGAAACCCUGACCCAGCAACGCCGCGUGAAGGAAGAAGGCCUUCGGGUUCGGUUAAAGG
rnacentral:rRNA from 1 species